AUGUGGGAGCGAUGCUGCGAGCGAGGCAUCAAGGCGAAUGCAAACACGGCUCGCAGGGUGGGGAUGGCACCAGCCACCGGCACAACCAGUCCCCAGACAGCCGCUCCUCGCCCAGCUCUCAUUAGAGCACAGAUUAAAGGGUUUCCAGCCCCCGGCACCGCCGCGCUGCUCAGCCCCGGGCUCUCUCGGGAAUGCGCUUCCCCAAACCGGGGCUGCCUGCGCUCCAUCCCCGCGCCCGGGCUCCGGCAGCCGAGCGGGACCCGCCGCCACCGCCGCUCCCGGGCCCGUCCUGCCCCCGCGCCCCGUGUCCCCUCCCGGACCCCGUGUCCUGCCCCCGCACCCCGUGUCCCCUGCUGCUACGCGUGUCUGCCACCCGCACCCUGUGUCCCUGUCCCCAAUCUCCAUCUGCUCCGCGCACCCCGUGUCCCCUCCGCACCCCGUGCCCUGUCCCUGCACCCCGUGUUCUCCCCGCUCCCGUAUCCUUCUCGCACCCUGUGUCUCUCCUGCACCCCGUGUCCUGUCCCUCCAACCCGUGUCUCCUCCCGGACCCCGUGUCCCCUCCGACCCCCGAGUCCUGUCCCAGUCCCCGUGUCCUGUCCCUGUCCCGGUGUCCCCCGGCCCNNNNNNNNNNNNNNNNNNNNGCCGCCGCCGCCGCCGCUGCCGGGCUCCGCUCCGCCUCGCCAGCCCCGAGCUGGGUGCCCCGGCCCUGCCGCUCCUCCCGGCCUCCGCAGUCCCGGCCCGGCGGGCGGUGAGUCCUGUCCUGUCCCUCCGGACAGAUCGGGGUGUCGCGGGGUCGCCUCAUCGGGGGAGGGCACGGUCAGGCGGGAAGGGGGAUCCGGGAGGCCCCGGAGUGUGGCGGGACCCCCCAGGCGGGCUGGGACAUCUCCCGGGGAGAUGAGCAUCGCCACCGGGCUGACGGGCACCGCUCCGGUGAGGGUGGCCACGCUCGGGGCAUCUCCUGGGGUGAUGGGCAGCGCUUCCCGGCGACGGCAUCGCUCCGCGGGCGAUGGUGGCCGUGCUCGGGGCACCCUCCCCGGUGGCGGCGGGUCACGCUUCAGGGCAUUCCCCUCCGGGGGCUGGUGA
rnacentral:lncRNA from 1 species